UAGCUAGUUGGUGGGGUAAGGGCCUACCAAGGCGACGAUCGUUAGCUGGUCUGAGAGGAUGGCCAGCCACACUGGAACUGAGACACGGUCCAGACUCCUACGGGAGGCAGCAGUGGGGAAUAUUGGACAAUGGGGGCAACCCUGAUCCAGCAAUGCCGCGUGUGUGAAGAAGGCCUGAGGGUUGUAAAGCACUUUCAGUGGGGAGGAGGAUGUCUAGGUUAAGAGCUAGGAUAUUGGACGUUACCCACAGAAGAAGCACCGGCUAACUCCGUGCCAGCAGCCGCGGUAAUACGGAGGGUGCGAGCGUUAAUCGGAAUUACUGGGCGUAAAGGGUGCGUAGGUUGUUGUAUAAGUUAUCUGUGAAAUCCCUGGGCUCAACCUGGGCAGGUCAGAUAAAACUGUAUGACUCGAGUAUGGGAGAGGGUAGUGGAAUUUCCGGUGUAGCGGUGAAAUGCGUAGAGAUCGGAAGGAACACCAGUGGCGAAGGCGGCUACCUGGCCUAAUACUGACACUGAGGCACGAAAGCGUGGGGAGCAAACAGGAUUAGAUACCCUGGUAGUCCACGCUGUAAACGAUGUCAACUAGCUGUUGGGUAUAUGAAUGUACUUAGUGGCGC
rnacentral:rRNA from 1 species